UACGUAGGGUGCAAGCGUUGCUCGGAAUCACUGGGCGUAAAGCGCACGUAGGCGGCUCUUUAAGUCAGGGGUGAAAUCCUGGAGCUCAACUCCAGAACUGCCUUUGAUACUGAGAAGCUUGAGUCCGGGAGAGGUGAGUGGAACUGCGAGUGUAGAGGUGAAAUUCGUAGAUAUUCGCAAGAACACCAGUGGCGAAGGCGGCUCACUGGCCCGGUACUGACGCUGAGGCACGAAAGCGUGGGGAGCAAACAGG
rnacentral:rRNA from 1 species